CGACGAACUACUUCGGUAGUGAGUGGCAAACGGGAGAGUAACACCUUGGUAACCUACCUCUAAGAUGGGCACAACGCGGAGAAAUCUGCGCUAAUUCCCAAUGUGCUGGUAAAACAUAAGUUUUAUUAGUAAAGCUCCGACGCUUAGAGAGGGGCCUAGGUUCCAUCAGCUUGUUGGUGAGGUAAAAGCUCACCAAGGCUACGACGGAUAGCGGGUGUGAGAGCAUGGCCCGUCUCACUGGGACUGAGAUACUGCCCAGACUCCUACGGGAGGCUGCAGUCAAGAAUCUUCCACAAUGCCCGAAAGGGUGAUGGAGCGACGCCGCGUGCAGGAAGACGCCCUUCGGGGUGUAAACUGCUUUUAUAUGGGACGAAUUCGUGACGGUACCAUAUGAAUAAGGGGCUGCUAAACUCGUGCCAGCAGCAGCGGUAAUACGAGUGCCCCAAGCGUUGUCCGGAAUUACUGGGUGUAAAGGGUCCACAGGCGGUUAGAUAAGUUUCCAGUUAAACCUUCAGGCUUAACCUGGAGUUCGCUGGAAAUACUAUUUAACUAGAGGCCGGUAGAGGUAAGCGGAAUGGCUGGUGUAGUAGUAAAAUGCGUUGAUAUCAGCUAGAACGCCAAAUGUGAAGACAGCUUACUGGAACGGUUCUGACGCUCAUUGGACGAAAGCGUGGGUAGCGAAAGGGAUUAGAUACCCCUGUAGUCCACGCCCUAAACGAUGAAUGCUAAUCAUUGGGAGUAUCGACCCUCUCAGUGGUGUUAACCUAAGCUAACGCGUUAAGCAUUCCACCUGGGGAGUACGGUCGCAAGACUAAAACUCAAAGGAAUUGACGGGAGCCCGCACAAGCGGUGGGGCAUGUGGUUUAAUUCGAUGAUAAGCGGGGAACCUUACCAGGGCUUGACAUCUCGAGAAUUCUCCCGAAAGGGAGAAGUGCCUUUUGGAACUCGAUGACAGGUGCUGCAUGGUUGUCGUCGGCUCGUGUUGUGAAAUGUCGGGUUAAGUCCUUUAACGAGCGCAACCCUCAUUCUAUGUUAAAUGUUCGUAGAAAACUGCCCCGGUUAACGGGGAGGAAGGCGAGGAUGACGUCAAAUCAGCAUGGCUCUUACGCCCUGGGCUACACACGUGCUACAAUGGCCAGUACAGUGGGUCGCAAAACCGCAAGGUGAAGCUAAUCCUCAAAGCUGGCCCCAGUUCGGAUUGAGGUCUGAAAUUCGACCUCAUGAAGUCGGAAUCGCUAGUAACCGUGAAUCAGCCACGUCACGGUGAAUACGUUCUCGGGCUUUGUACACACCGCCCGUCACGUCAAGAAAGUCGGUAAUACC
rnacentral:rRNA from 1 species